rnacentral:lncRNA from 1 species
AUGGCAUUUAACAAUAUAAAUCUCCAUUUUCAGUGCUCGCAUAAAUCUAAUGAUUUUUUUCUCUUGAGCAAAGAGUCUUUAAUGCCUUCCUGGUGUGUUUUGCAGAGCACUGGAUCAACAUCACACAUGGAAUAUAUUUGUAAAGAGACAGGCAGGAUUAUGUCAUACCCAGAAGGGAUAAUAAUCAGGUAUUACUGUCUCCCAGAAGAUAUAUAUCUCAUACUGGCUUUGUCAAUGGAACUUCUGAUCAUUCUUUCUAAAGAAUUACAUUCUAAAGGCCUGAAGUCAAAUGAAGAGAUGCCCACCUUCAGAUAUGCCUUCUGCUUAUAGUGCUUGUAUAGCAAAUACAUGGUUAUUACCUGUAUAUUCAUGAUCCUGUGUAUCAUCUGUGACUGUCAUCUUAGUACAGUUUCAGUCAUUACCUGUAUAUUCAUGAUCCUGUGUAUCAUCUGUGACUAUCCUCUUAGUACAGUUUCAGUCAUUUUAUCGUGUUCUCUUUAUCACUGCUGUCCAUUUUCACUGGGUGUUGAAGUUUUAAAGCAUGUCUUUCUGUCCCAGCUCCUGAACUCUUUGUUUCCAGCUGGCGUCUUCCUGGACAAGCAGUUCUAGGUUUUCCUGAAGCUACGUGUUCACAUGAAUAUCAUUAAAUGUCUCCCUCCUCCUUCUGAUGCUUUGCAGUCUUUAGAGAUGACUUUCAGGUGUUUUUUUGAAGUCAGUCAGUUUGAACUGGAGCAAUUUUGCUGGUUCUUUGACCAAACUUGACUGUCCUUCAAGAUAAGUCACCGUUAGUCCAUGAAGUAAAAUUUUAUAGGACUGGCUUUUUAUAGGAUUGGCUUUUCUGUUCUCAGCCAAGAAGGUUUACUCUAUCCCCCAGUGAAAAGUUGGACCUGUUCAAUAUUAGCAUUAAAUUUUGCCAAAUAGAGGGUUUGUGGCAUCAGAGGACUGGCCUCCACUGCAGAUGGCUCAAGGGCAUUAAAGGUGUAUGUAAUGAAUUUUUUCCUCCUAUUGACUUUAAGAUACUCUACCCUUCAGGAAGCAAAUCCUUUGGCUAGGUCAUUGCCCCUCAAAGUAUGUCAACUUUUUAAUGUGCAAGUAAUCAAAGCAAGGUAAAAUAAAAUUUUCAAAGGAAACUCAGAGAUUUGACCCUUGUGUCCAUAAUUCAGACAGUAUCAUUGAAGUACCAUGCAGCUGAUGCAGGAGUAGUUGGAAAGACAUUUUUAUAGCUACAAACAGGCCCUCUUUGGUUCCAAAGGACACUGAAACUGCCUCUAGCCAGUAGCAUCAGGGUUACAGCUCCCUGUCCAAAAUCCUGUUUGUAUUCUACUUUAAAACCACUCAGAGCCUGACAACCAGGACAGACCAUCAGUAAGUAUGGGGGAG